GGUAAAAUGAGAAUUUCACAAAGUCUUCAAGAAGACUCAUGUGGGCCCCACAUGCCACAUGGCAGCCCAUGAUUGGAGAAAAGGGGUGUGUUGGACCAAUGAAACCUUGACAUGUGUCACCACUUAGAUCUUGACAUUUGUCGCCACUUAGGGCUUGACACGUGUCACCACUUAGGGGAUGACAUGUGUCACCCCUAAAGUAGUAUAUAUAUAUAUAUAUAUAUGAGUCUUAUGACUCAUUAAUUUCCACACCUAUCUAGAAAAUUCAAGACUAACAAAACGAAAUUACAUGAGAAAGAAAGAAGAGAAGAGAAAAGAAAUUAAGGUAGAAAGAAGGAAAGAGCUACGAUUUUGGGAGGAGAAAAAGCCCAAAACGUUACCAAACAGUUCCUAAGUUUCAGCUGCGCUAAAGGAAAUUCCGAGGCAAGUUUUGGCGAAUUUCGGGAAAGGUUCAAGAGACGACGAGGCGAGCAUAGUUAAGAGUAAUCCGUAAGAGGUACAGACGAUUGGUUUGCUGAUCCGCUCGCUUAAGACAUCCACCAUGUUGGUCGACAGUGCUCCUUUGUCCGGAGCCCUAUUUUGGUACUGACACUUUCUGUUGUAUAUAUAUAUACGUUGUUCAGGGGUACGGCGGGGCCCUGUCCCGUCAUAUGACUAGGAUAUCAUUCCGUAGAGGUCUGUAGACAUGAGAUGUGGGUUUUGUAUAUAUGUUUUGGGGUUUUUUGUGUUUCGUGAUGGCCUAUAGGCUCUCGUGCAUUAUAUCUGUUUAGAGAUCCCUUCUAAUGAUUACCUAUGUUUAUUCGAUUAAUGUACUAAGUGGGGCUAAGGGUACGUAUGGGUGCCCAACUCGGGCACCAGCCAUGGCCUACGGAGUUGGGUCGUGACAUUAACAAGUA